rnacentral:rRNA from 1 species
UGUGCCUACGGGGCGCAGCAGUGGGGAAUAUUGGGCAAUGGAGGAAACUCUGACCCAGCAACGCCGCGUGAAGGAUGAAGGUUUUCGGAUUGUAAACUUCUGUCGCGAGGGACGAAGAAUGACGGUACCUCGUAAGAAAGCCCCGGCAAACUACGUGCCAGCAGCCGCGGUAAUACGUAGGGGGCGAGCGUUGUCCGGAAUGACUGGGCGUAAAGGGAGUGUAGGCGGCUCUUUAAGUUAUAUGUGAAAUCCCGCGGCUUAACCGUGGAAGUGCAUAUAAAACUGGGGAGCUGGAGUGCAGGAGG